GCGCCCGUAGCUCAAUUGGAUAGAGCACCAGUCUACGGAACUGGGUGUUGGCCGUUCGAGCCGGCCCGGGCGCG
rnacentral:tRNA from 1 species